rnacentral:lncRNA from 12 species
GCCCAAAGACCUUUUCCCCCCCUUGUCUUUCUGUUUACACUUGGCAUUUGGCGGCCACAGAAGGGCUGUUAACAUCGGCUGUUGUCUAAAUCUAAACAGGCGAAGAACAGAACCGAUCUCGAAGACAGAGAAUCGUCCAGCAAUUCAUCCUGAACACAGGACUCCAGCAUCCCUCAUGCUCUGUGAGGCCUCCCGCUCCACCACAUAAUUUAUGACUCCCACAUCCUGGCAUUUCGUUCAAACCCAAAGCAUUUGACAAACUAUAUAUAUUUUUUUUUAAAAAAAAAGUUUUCCGUGAGUUGGUGCCUUAGCGGGAGGAAUUUAUGAUGAGUUGACUUAAUCCUCGCUUUUCAGAGACUUCUAAAAAAAGGUCUUUCUCCAAACAACGGAAUUAUGUGUAGCGGACCGUAGAGCGGGCGGUGGCUGAGAUGUCAGGGCUGCCGGUGGCAGAAGUCUCAGCGAACGGCUUCGGGAAGGCCUCUCUGUGCAGCCCGGGCCCGGGCCUGCCUCCGGCUAAUUGCGCUGUCUGAGGCCUGGCGGGCGGCCAGCUCUACCUGAGCCAGCUCUGCUCCCGGGCCCAGCCAGGUUGCCUCUGUGUUCGCUUAUUACAACUAACCGCUGUGAAAUCAUUCACAGACCUUGGAAAUAACAGAUGCAUCAAGAUGAGAAAUGCCAUUGUAGCUGGUGACUUCGUAUAGGAUGGAGCAGUCUGCCAUUUUCCAAAUGUGAAUGGUUCACAGGCCAUACCUUCUUCUGGAACAGCUACAAUGCUUCACCCAGACCGAUGCACAUCACAUCAGAGAGGAAGACACAUGUGUGAUUCAUUUUGCUAAGCCUCAAGUCUAAGGAUUUACCUAAGGACCCAGGAAUGUUGUGAGGCUGCUCUUGAUCCGCACUGAGAAGGAUAUUGAAGCAGCAGCCU